CUCAAAUUUGAAAUCUGGCACCUUCGGUGUCCGAGUUGUAAUUUGAAGAAGGUAACUUUGGAGUCAGCUCUUGUCUAUGUUCCUUGGAACAGGACGUCACAGAGGGUGAGAAUCCCGUGCGAUGAGAUGUCUGAUUCUAUGUAAAGUGCUUUCGAAGAGUCGAGUUGUUUGGGAAUGCAGCUCUAAGUGGGUGGUAAAUUCCAUCUAAAGCUAAAUAUUGGCGAGAGACCGAUAGCGAACAAGUACAGUGAUGGAAAGAUGAAAAGAACUUUGAAAAGAGAGUGAAAAAGUACGUGAAAUUGUUGAAAGGGAAGGGUUUGAGAUCAGACUUGGUAUUUUGUAUGUCUUGCUUUCGGGUGGGGCCUCUACAGUUUACUGGGCCAGCAUCGGUUUGGACGGUAGGAUAAUGACAUUGGAAUGUGGCACCACUUCGGUGGUGUGUUAUAGACUUUGUUGAUACUGCCUGUCUAGACCGAGGACUGCGUCUUUGACUAGGAUGCUGGCAUAAUGAUCUUAAACCGC
rnacentral:rRNA from 1 species